UUCCUUGACCCCCCCCAUAUUCCUUCUGCCCAGAGACUGCCCUAUUACCAACAUCCAGACCAAUGACAAACACCACAUUACACAGUCAGGGGCCUUUGUAUUUCAUGUUAGCACAACUCACUAAAACAUCUUUCUGCAGCUGUGCUGUCUCCUGUACUUCUCCUAACAAUCGGCUCUCAGCUGACAGGCUGCAAACAGCAUACGGUGCACUGUGGUGCUCACUCUGCAAUCCACUGAUCAUGUCUGCUGUUUGUACUGCAGCCUGCUAGCCGAGAGCCGAUUGUUAGGAGACGCACAGGAGACAGCACAGCUGCAGAAAGAUCCGUGUCACUGCUCCACAAAGUUACACUGAUAGAUUGUGGCGAUAGCUUGUCUGAUAGCCCGAACCGGAUGCCUAUCCCUAAGGAAGCCCAUCUGAUUAGAGUUAUAGGUGCAUCUAAGAUUUCC